rnacentral:rRNA from 1 species
AUUGAACGCUGGCGGAAUGCUUUACACAUGCAAGUCGAACGGCAGCACGGGGCAACCUGGUGGCGAGUGGCGAACGGGUGAGUAAUACAUCGGAACGUGCCCAAUCGUGGGGGAUAACGUAGCGAAAGUUACGCUAAUACCGCAUACGAUCUACGGAUGAAAGCGGGGGAGUCGCAAGACCUCGCGCGAUUGGAGCGGCCGAUGUCAGAUUAGGUAGUUGGUGGGGUAAAGGCUCACCAAGCCGACGAUCUGUAGCUGGUCUGAGAGGACGACCAGCCACACUGGGACUGAGACACGGCCCAGACUCCUACGGGAGGCAGCAGUGGGGAAUUUUGGACAAUGGGCGCAAGCCUGAUCCAGCCAUUCCGCGUGCAGGAUGAAGGCCUUCGGGUUGU